rnacentral:rRNA from 1 species
ACUCAAAGGAAUAGACGGGGACCCGCACAAGCGGUGGAGCAUGUGGUUUAAUUCGACGCAACGCGAAGAACCUUACCUGGGCUAGAAUGCCCCUGACAACCCCGGAGACGGGGCCUUCCGUGGAAACACGGACAGGGUGCAAGGUGCUGCAUGGCUGUCGUCAGCUCGUGUCGUGAGAUGUUGGGUUAAGUCCCGCAACGAGCGCAACCCUUGUCGGUAGUUACUAACGCGUCAUGGCGAGGACUCUACCGAGACUGCCGUUGAUAAAACGGAGGAAGGUGGGGAUGACGUCAAGUCCUCAUGGCCUUUAUGCCCAGGGCUACACACGUGCUACAAUGGCGGGCACAGAACGCCGCGAACCCGCGAGGGGGAGCCAAUCGUCAAAAGCCCGUCUCAGUUCGGAUCGCAGUCUGCAACUCGACUGCGUGAAGUUGGAAUCGCUAGUAAUCGCGGAUCAGCACGCCGCGGUGAAUACGUUCCCGGGUCUUGUACACACCGCCCGU